UACGUAGGGUGCGAGCGUUGUCCGGAAUUAUUGGGCGUAAAGAGCUCGUAGGCGGUUUGUUGCGUCGGCUGUGAAAUCCCGAGGCUCAACCUCGGGUCUGCAGUCGAUACGAGCAAACUAGAGUGUUGCAGGGGAGACUGGAAUUCCUGGUGUAGCGGUGAAAUGCGCAGAUAUCAGGAGGAACACCGGUGGCGAAGGCGGGUCUCUGGGCAACAACUGACGCUGAGGAGCGAAAGCUGGGGGAGCAAACAGG
rnacentral:rRNA from 1 species